AUACGGAGGGGGCUAGCGUUGUUCGGAUUUACUGGGCGUAAAGCGCUCGUAGGCGGCUUGUAAAGUCGGAUGUGAAAUCCCCGGGCUCAACCUGGGAACUGCAUUCGAUACUGGCAGGCUAGAGUAUAGUAGAGGCAAGUGGAAUUUCGGGUGUAGCGGUGAAAUGCGUAGAUAUCUGGAGGAACAUCAGUGGCGAAGGCGACUUACUGGACCAAUACUGACGCUGAGGUGCGAAAGCGUGGGGAGCAAACAGGAUUAGAAACCCCAGUAGUCC
rnacentral:rRNA from 1 species